GCGACCCCAGGAUGGGCGAGCCCAGGAUGGG
rnacentral:rRNA from 1 species